UACGUAGGGGGCAAGCGUUAUCCGGAUUUACUGGGCGUAAAGGGAGCGCAGGCGGCGCGCCAAGUCUGAUGUGAAACCCCGGGGCUCAACCCCGGGCAUGCAUUGGAAACUGGCGGGCUGGAGUGCCGGAGAGGUAAGCGGAAUUCCUAGUGUAGCGGUGAAAUGCGUAGAUAUUAGGAGGAACACCGGUGGCGAAAGCGGCUCUCUGGCCUGUAACUGACACUGAGGCUCGAAAGCGUGGGGAGCAAACAGG
rnacentral:rRNA from 1 species